rnacentral:rRNA from 1 species
UCGAGAAUAUUCGUCAAUGCCCGAAAGGGUGAACGAGCGAUGCCGCGUGUAGGAUGAAGGCCUUCGGGUCGUAAACUACUUUUCUCAGGGAAGAAUUUUGAUGACGGUACCUGAGGAAUAAGAGGUUACUAACUCUGUGCCAGCAGUAGCGGUAAUACAGAGACCUCAAGCGUUAUCCGGAUUUAUUGGGCGUAAAGAGUGGGUAGGUGGAUAUGUUAGUCAGAUGUCAAAUCUUCCGACUCAAUCGGAA